rnacentral:rRNA from 1 species
UACAGAGGUCCCGAGCGUUGUUCGGAUUUACUGGGCGUAAAGGGCGCGUAGGCGGCAAUUCAAGUCAGUUGUGAAAUCUCCGAGCUUAACUCGGAACGGUCAACUGAUACUGUUUUGCUAGAGUACAGAAGGGGCAAUCGGAAUUCUUGGUGUAGCGGUGAAAUGCGUAGAUAUCAAGAGGAACACCUGAGGUGAAGACGGGUUGCUGGGCUGAUACUGACGCUGAGGCGCGAAAGCUAGGGUAGCAAACGGG